GGAAAAGAAACUAACAAGGAUUCCCCUAGUAGCGGCGAGCGAAGCGGGAAAAGCUCAAAUUUGUAAUCUGGCGUCUACGACGUCCGAGUUGUAAUCUCGAGAAGUGUUUUCCGUGAUAGACCGCAUACAAGUCUCUUGGAACAGAGCGUCAUAGUGGUGAGAACCCAGUACACGAUGCGGAUGCCUAUUACUUUGUGAUACACUUUCGAAGAGUCGAGUUGUUUGGGAAUGCAGCUCAAAUUGGGUGGUAAAUUCCAUCUAAAGCUAAAUAUUGGCGAGAGACCGAUAGCGAACAAGUACCGUGAGGGAAAGAUGAAAAGCACUUUGGAAAGAGAGUUAACAGUACGUGAAAUUGUUGGAAGGGAAACACAUGCAGCCAGACUUGCUAUUCGGGGCAACUCGAUUGGCAGGCCCGCAUCAGUUUUUCGGGGCGGAAAAGCAUAGAGAGAAGGUAGCAAUUUCGGUUGUGUUAUAGCUCUUUAUUGGAUUCGCCCUGGGGGACUGAGGAACGCAGCGUGCUUUUAGCAUAAGCUUCGGCUUAUCCACGCUUAGGAUGCGGGUGUAAUGGCUGUAUAUGACCCGU
rnacentral:rRNA from 1 species